rnacentral:rRNA from 1 species
ACAGAGGGGGCAAGCGUUGUUCGGAAUUACUGGGCGUAAAGGGCGCGUAGGCGGCCUUCUAAGUCGAACGUGAAAUCCCCGGGCUCAACCCGGGAACUGCGUCCGAUACUGGAUGGCUUGAAUUCGGGAGAGGGAUGCAGAAUUCCAGGUGUAGCGGUGAAAUGCGUAGAUAUCUGGAGGAAUACCGGUGGCGAAGGCGGCAUCCUGGACCGACAUUGACGCUGAACGGCGAAAGCUAGGGGAGCAAACGGGA